GCUUGGGUGGCUCAAAUGGUUAAGCACUCAGCUACUAACGGAAAAGUUGGUGGUUCAAACCCACCCAAAGGUA
rnacentral:tRNA from 1 species